CUCUAUUGCACGCUCUCAACCAUGCUGAAGCUCUAAAAGAAAAUUGUUUAGUUUAUUUCAUUCAAUACUAUUUAGUCUUCAGGAAUGGAAAGAAGCUUAGUCCUCUACCAGUUUUGGAUGGGCACCCUCGACAAAUACAAUGAUAACCCCCUCGACGAUACAUCACAAAUAUUAUGUCUGUUUAAAUAGUUACUAAUAUUAAUCAUUCACACUAAGUCUAUAAUAAAUAAAUACUAAUAAUAAAUACACAAAAGUGAGGUUGGAUUGAAUUAUCGAUUGG